GACACGGACACACAGGCUGUUUGCUGGCCUGAAACAGACAUUUCCAAGUUGUUGACACAUUUUGAAUAUUUUCAGAACCAAACAGAAUAUAUGUUUUGAUUGUUCAGUUUUCUGACUGAACAAUUAAUUAUUUGCCCAAGUGGAGGGAUCUAUCAUCAUCUGAGAGUAGAGCUUUGAUAAGACAAGACUUAAAGUAUGUUUAGUUUUGGGUUUUUUGUCAGGCCUGUGUCCCCUGGCAAUCCCUCACACUUUAAGCACUGAGGGCUCUGGAAAGAAAAAGUCCUCUGAAGAAGAGACCUCCUGAGCAGAGCUCUUUUGCAGAGAUGAUACCUGCCAUGGAAGUCAGGCAGCACUCAUCUCCUCCACCGAAGGCCGCAAGUGAAACCACCAUAAUGUACCCUUGGACUCUGGGACUUCGGUAACCUCUGACAACAAACCUUCUUCUCAGGUACCUUCAGCGCACAAAAUUCUAUGGGAGAAGGCUCCCUUCCCAUCCUUCAGCCCUGGGCCCCUUUUCAUUUUCUGACUGCAAAACCUUUUUAUAACUGCAGCUGCAGCUGCUGUACUUUACACCUGGGAAACCACUAGUGCAAGGCUCCUGUUGGACUGCAUCAUUUCGAAAGGUGGCCUGGCCUUUAGCCCUUUUUUGUGUGCAACAUACAGGAAACGCAGAAAAGUCUAAGAGGAAGAAAGGUUGUUUUAACCCAUACAAUACUCUUAAUGACUCUCUGAAGGCAGUUACUGCAUGGCAUCUUUAACUCUUUCUAUGGAGAGUUUAAUCAUGGAUGCUUAUCCAUCAGUGAUCCCUAAUGUUCAAGACUUUUUGCUGUAACAAUAUUGAGGUUCUGCUCUGUGUGGAAAUUAAAGUCCAGUCAUUCCCCUGUGACAUGUACAGAUACGCUGGUGUUGCCCAGAAUACGGCAUCUUUAAAACCAGUCACUAUGAAAAGC